rnacentral:rRNA from 1 species
CAGUCGCCGCGGUAAUACGUAGGUGGCAAGCGUUGUCCGGAAUUAUUGGGCGUAAAGGGCUCGCAGGCGGUUUCUUAAGUCUGAUGUGAAAGCCCCCGGCUCAACCGGGGAGGGUCAUUGGAAACUGGGAAACUUGAGUGCAGAAGAGGAGAGUGGAAUUCCACGUGUAGCGGUGAAAUGCGUAGAGAUGUGGAGGAACACCAGUGGCGAAGGCGACUCUCCGGUCUGCAACUGACGCUGAGGAGCGAAAGCGUGGGGAGCGAACAGGAUUAGAGACCCCUGUAGUCCCUGUCUCUUAUAA